ensembl:lncRNA
CAUAACAUUAUGACCACUGACAGGUGAAGUGAGUAACACUGAUAAUCUCGUUAUCAUGGCAUCUGUCUGUGGGUGGGAUAUAUUAGGCAGCAAGUGAACAUUCUGUCCUCAAACUGGAUGUGUCAGAAGCAGGAAAAAUAGGCAAGCGUAAGGAUCUGAGCGACUUUAACAAGGGCCAAAUUGUGAUGGCUGGACGACUGGGUAAGAGUAUAUCCAGAAUGCAGCCCUUUUGGGUUGUUCCUGGUCUGCAGUGGUCAGUACCUAUCAAAAGUGGUCCAAGGAAGGAAAAGCGUUGAACCGGCGACAGGGUCAUGGACGACCAAGGCUCAUUGACGCACGUGGGGAGCGAAGCCUGGCCUGUGUGGUCCAAUUCAACAGAUGCAAUAGAAGAAGGUGGUCUGACGAAUGAAACAAAUGGCACCAGGAUGCACUAUGGGAAGGAAUCAAGCCGGCGGAGGCAGUGUGAUGCUUUCGACAAUGUCCUGCUGGGAAACCUUGGGUCCUGCCAUUCAUGUGGAUGUUACUUUGACACCAACCACCUACCUGAGCGUUGUUGCGGACCAUGUGCACCCUUUCAUGGCAACGGUAUUCCCUCACGGCAUUGGCCUCUUUCAGCAGGAUAAUGCGCCCUGCCACAAAGCAAAAAUGGCUCAGGAAUGGUUUGAGAAACAGAACAACGAGUUCAAUGUGUCGACUUGGCCUCCAAAUUCCCCGGACGUCAAUCGAGCAUUUGUGGGAUGUGCUGGACAAACAGGUCCAAUCCAUGGAGAACCCACCUCGCAACUUACAGGACUUAAAGGAUCUGCUGCUAGUUUCUUGGUGCCAGAUACCACAGCACACCUUCAGAGGUCUAGUGGAGUCCAUGCCUCGAAUGAGUCAGGGCUGUUUUAUAACUGGGGUCUUAUAUCCCCAGUUAAAAGAGGGUGGGCACACUUAUGCAACCAGGUUAUUGUGAGUUUUUUAUUUUUCCCCCUCAAAGAUUUGUUAGGUUUUUUUUUUUCUCAAUUGAAUUGUUCACAUUAUAGGUCACAUUUAAGGUGGAAAUAGUUCUGACAUGAUUUAUCCCUGUCUCAUUCUUUAACAUCACAAGAACCUGGCAUUUUAACAGGGGUGUGUAGACUUUAUAUAUCCACUGUAUAAAUAAAUUAAUACAAGUCGACUUUAAGUCGUUCAUCUGUAACAUGGUAGUAUUCUUCAUACCAGGUUUAGAGCAUAACUCACAACCAUGUAGCUACUUAAAGUCACACACCAAGUAACGUUUUCAUAAUGACUUACUUCAGCGAAUCACAUGACUGCGAGUGGCGGCUUCAAACGGAGGCAAGACACGUGGGAAACAUACAUUAGGGGGUUUGGAUGAAGCUGCUGAAGCAGAUCAGUGACCAGUAGACUGAGCUGGUAUGACCAAUGCCCACGCGUAGUCCUUUGCUUUGAGCUAGUCCAGGAACUAGAUCACUGUCUCCCUAAAAAUAGUGCACAGUGCAGUACGUGUGUGUGUAGUUCGGGGUUGCCUGUGUGUGUUGCUCCUGCUCCAUUUAGUCAUGGCAGUGAUGGCAGAGGUGCCAGAGGAGCAAAGAUGGCAGGGGAGCAGAGAAGGCAGGUGGGCAGGAGUGGCAGGGGAAUAGAGGUAGCAGGAGAGCAGAGGUAGCAGGGGAGCAGAGGUAGCAGGGGAGCAGAGGUAGCAGGGGAGCAGAGGUAGCAGGAGAGCAGAGGUAACAGGAGAGUAGAGGUAGCAGGGGAGCAGAGGUAGCAGGAGAGCAGAGGUAGCAGGGGAGUAGAGGUAGCAGGUGAGUAGAGGUAGCAGGGGAGUAGAGGUAGCAGGUGAGUAGAGGUAGCAGGGGAGUAGAGGUAGCAGGGGAGUAGAGGUAGCAGGGGAGUAGAGGUAGCAGGGGAGUAGAGGUAACAGGAGAGUAGAGGUAGCAGGGGAGUAGAGGUAGCAGGGGAGUAGAGGUAGCAGGGGAGUAGAGGUAACAGGGGAGUAGAGGUAGCAGGGGAGCAGAGGUAACAGGGGAGUAGAGGUAGCAGGGGAGUAGAGGUAGCAGGGGAGCAGAGGUAACAGGGGAGUAGAGGUAGCAGGGGAGCAGAGGUAGCAGGGGAGCAGAGGCUCCAGGGUCUAAAUGUGUUUCCUGUGUCUGACGGUUUGGAGGUUACUGGGUAUCAGAACACACUGCUCCUGCACAGCAUAGACAUUUUCCAUUCUGUCAGCGCGAGCACACUAGCUCCUUCCAAACUCAGCGCCACUUCAUUAAAUGACUUCAGACUCUUGGCAGAGGCAGUGGGAAAAGUCUAUAUUAACUGUGUGUGAGAUCCACUGGGCGGCCAACAAAGGCCAUAGUUGUUCCCCGGCACCAGUCGCUGCUGGCGGGGAGGGGUACUGGGACUGGAGGGUACCCCUUUAGGUUAGGCACUGCAGACGAUACGGCACCCCAAAAAAUUAAAUCAACCAGGACCCAGGUGGUCUCACCCCUGACUUACCUUGGGAGGAAGUACGGUCAGAGCUGUGACCUAUGGUGAUAAUAAAAUGGCUGAAAUACCUGGUUCAGUUUAGCGGCGGGCACAGGGAGCUUUGGAGCAAACUUUGCCCUGCAGGGCAAGCAGAUCUGCUCGCGUGUAUACAGGAGGUUGUUACGUUUUGCGGCAGGCAAAAUGCAGUGCAGGGAACUGAACCAUUUACUCUGCACAUUUCAAAGAUUUCAUUAAAGGGUACAGGUCUGCAAGAAAACAUGCUGUAACUUUACAGAACCAGUCCACCACAGUCAGCCCGACUGUUGCCCAGUUCACAUACACCAGGGCAGCCACAUCAAACUCUGAUGGAAGACUAUGUAAAUAUAC